UAGACCUCCCACCCUUGUGUAUUAUUACUUUGUUGCUUUGGCGAGCUGCCUUCGGGCCUUGUAUGCUCGCCAGAGAAUACCAAAACUCUUUUUAUUAAUGUCGUCUGAGUACUAUAUAAUAGUUAAAACUUUCAACAACGGAUCUCUUGGUUCUGGCAUCGAUGAAGAACGCAGCGAAAUGCGAUAAGUAAUGUGAAUUGCAGAAUUCAGUGAAUCAUCGAAUCUUUGAACGCACAUUGCGCCCCUUGGUAUUCCGGGGGGCAUGCCUGUUCGAGCGUCAUUUCAACCCUCAAGCUUAGCUUGGUAUUGAGUCUAUGUCAGUAAUGGCAGGCUCUAAAAUCAGUGGCGGCGCCGCUGGGUCCUGAACGUAGUAAUAUCUCUCGUUACAGGUUCUCGGUGUGCUUCUGCCAAAACCCAAAUUUUUCUAUGGUUGACCUCGGAUCAGGUAGGGAUACCCGCUGAACUUAAGCAUAUCAAUAGCGGAGGAAANANCAUUACAGAGUUCAUGCCGAAAGGGUAGACCUCCCACUUGUGUAUUAUUACUUUGUUGCUUUGGCGAGCUGCCUUCGGGCCUUGUAUGCUCGCAGAGAAUACAAAACUCUUUUUAUUAAUGU
rnacentral:rRNA from 1 species